rnacentral:rRNA from 1 species
AACUUAAAGGAAUUGACGGGGGCCCGCACAAGCGGUGGAGUAUGUGGUUUAAUUCGAUGCAACGCGAAGAACCUUACCUAGGUUUGACAUCCGGAAGACCUUCCCGAAAAGGAAGGGUGCCCUUCGGGGAAUUCCGAGACAGGUGCUGCAUGGCUGUCGUCAGCUCGUGCCGUGAGGUGUUGGGUUAAGUCCCGCAACGAGCGCAACCCUAUUGCCAGUUGCUACCAGGUAAUGCUGGGCACUCUGGUGAGACUGCCCCGGUUAACGGGGAGGAAGGUGGGGACGACGUCAAGUCAUCAUGGCCCUUACGCCUAGGGCUACACACGUACUACAAUGGCGCAUACAAAGGGCAGCGAUACCGCGAGGUGGAGCCAAUCCCAAAAAGUGCGUCCCAGUCCGGAUUGCAGUCUGCAACUCGACUGCAUGAAGUUGGAAUCGCUAGUAAUUCGAGAUCAGCAUGCUCGGGUGAAUGCGUUCCCGGGCCUU